CUCUUGGUGGCGAGUGGCGGACGGGUGAGUAAUAUAUCGGAACGUGCCCAGUAGCGGGGGAUAACUACUCGAAAGAGUGGCUAAUACCGCAUACGCCCUACGGGGGAAAGGGGGGGAUCGCAAGACCUCUCACUAUUGGAGCGGCCGAUAUCGGAUUAGCUAGUUGGUGGGGUAAAGGCUCACCAAGGCAACGAUCCGUAGCUGGUUUGAGAGGACGACCAGCCACACUGGGACUGAGACACGGCCCAGACUCCUACGGGAGGCAGCAGUGGGGAAUUUUGGACAAUGGGGGAAACCCUGAUCCAGCCAUCCCGCGUGUAUGAUGAAGGCCUUCGGGUUGUAAAGUACUUUUGGCAGAGAAGAAAAGGUACCUCCUAAUACGAGGUACUGCUGACGGUAUCUGCAGAAUAAGCACCGGCUAACUACGUGCCAGCAGCCGCGGUAAUACGUAGGGUGCAAGCGUUAAUCGGAAUUACUGGGCGUAAAGCGUGUGUAGGCGGUUCGGAAAGAAAGAUGUGAAAUCCCAGGGCUCAACCUUGGAACUGCAUUUUUAACUGCCG
rnacentral:rRNA from 1 species